UACGUAGGGUGCAAGCGUUGUCCGGAAUUAUUGGGCGUAAAGAGCUCGUAGGCGGUUUGUCGCGUCGAAUGUGAAAACCCGGGGCUCAACCCCGGGCCUGCAUUCGAUACGGGCAGACUAGAGUUCGGUAGGGGAGUCUGGAAUUCCUGGUGUGGCGGUGAAAUGCGCAGAUAUCAGGAGGAACACCGGUGGCGAAGGCGGUUCUCUGGGCAUUACCUGACGCUGAGGAGCGAAAGCGUGGGGAGCGAACAGG
rnacentral:rRNA from 1 species